UGGUAGCUUCUUGACCAAGAAACCAUAGGUUGAGAGUAGUCAGCUCUGUUGAGAAGUUGUGAAGAUGAGGACUGAGAAGUGUCCAUUGGAGAUUUGAAGAGACCUCAAUUUAAGAUUGUUCAUACACAGAAGCACUUUCAACUUGGAAUUUUCUCCAGCUCCUUCACCUCUCUAUGUAGGUAGAGAGAGCAGAGGUGGAUAUAGCCUUGGAGGGAUGGUCACACAGAAUGGAUACUUGUCAGGUGAAAACUGUGGAGCAGACAGGAGAUAAAAGCCAUGCCAUAGGUAAACUACACCUGAACUGCACUUACUCGAGUAGGCCGGGGUGGGGGGCUUAGAGCCCACUGGCUAGUUCUACCAAGAUACCACUGAGG
rnacentral:lncRNA from 1 species